GACGAAGGAUGCAAGCGUUAUCCGGAUUCAUUGGGUUUAAAGGGUGCGUAGGCGGACUUGUAAGUCAGUGGUGAAAUCUCUUCGCUUAACGAAGAAACUGCCAUUGAUACUGCAGGUCUAGAGUAUAGAUGACGUUGGCGGAAUAUGACAUGUAGUGGUGAAAUACUUAGAUAUGUCAUAGAACACCGAUUGCGAAGGCAGCUAACGAAAACUAUAACUGACGCUGAGGCACGAAAGUGCGGGGAUCAAAACAGG
rnacentral:rRNA from 1 species